AUUGAACGCUGGCGGCAUGCUUUACACAUGCAAGUCGAACGGUAACAGGCUUUCGGGUGCUGACGAGUGGCGAACGGGUGAGUAAUGCAUCGGAACGUACCCAGAGGUGGGGGAUAACGCAGCGAAAGCUGUGCUAAUACCGCAUGUGAUCUGAGGAUGAAAGCGGGGGACCGAGCAGCAAUGUUUGGCCUCGCGCCUUUGGAGCGGCCGAUGUCGGAUUAGCUAGUUGGUGGGGUAAAGGCCUACCAAGGCGACGAUCCGUAGCUGGUCUGAGAGGACGACCAGCCACACUGGGACUGAGACACGGCCCAGACUCCUACGGGAGGCAGCAAUGGGGAAUUUUGGACAAAGGGCGCAAGCCUGAUCCAGCAAUGCCGCGUGCGGGAAGAAGGCCUUCGGGUUGUAAACCGCUUUUGGCAGGAACGAAACGGUGUCCGCUAAUACCGGGCGCUAAUGACGGUACCUGCAGAAUAAGCACCGGCUAACUACGUG
rnacentral:rRNA from 1 species